rnacentral:pre_miRNA from 1 species
UAAACAGCUUAAAAAAGCCCCAGCAUUAGAAAACAUGAGAGCUGACGUAGUUCUAGACGUGAACACAAGUUCUAAAUAAUGGUUGAAAUUUUCUGGUUCACGUCUAGAACUACGUCAUCUCUCAUCUUUUCUAAAGUUGGGGCUUUUUUAAAAUGUUUA